AUGGCUCAGGAUGAACGCUAGCUACAGGCUUAACACAUGCAAGUCGAGGGGCAGCAUAUCGAAAGCUUGCUUUGAUGAUGGCGACCGGCGCACGGGUGAGUAACGCGUAUCCAACCUUCCCUAUACUAGAGGAUAGCCCGGCGAAAGUCGGAUUAAUACUCUAUGUUGUAUUUCGAGGACAUCUGAAUAAUACCAAAGGUUUACCGGUAUAGGAUGGGGAUGCGCCUGAUUAGGUUGUUGGCGGGUAACGGCCCACCAAGCCCACGAUCAGUAGGGGUUCUGAGAGGAAGGUCCCCCACGAUUGGAACUGAGACACGGUCCAAACUCCUACGGGAGGCAGCAGUGAGGAAUAUUGGUCAAUGGACGAGAGUCUGAACCAGCCAAGUAGCGUGCAGGAUGACGGCCCUAUGGGUUGUAAACUGCUUUUAUACAGGGAUAAAGUGCACUACGUGUAGUGUUUUGUAGGUACUGUAUGAAUAAGGACCGGCUAAUUCCGUGCCAGCCGCCGC
rnacentral:rRNA from 1 species